UACGUAGGGGGCGAGCGUUGUCCGGAAUUAUUGGGCGUAAAGAGCUCGUAGGCGGUUCGAUAAGUCGGACGUGAAAUCUCCACGCUCAACGUGGAGGGGCCGUUCGAUACUGUCGUGACUCGAGUCCGGUAGGGGAGUGUGGAAUUCCCGGUGUAGCGGUGAAAUGCGCAGAGAUCGGGAGGAACACCCGUAGCGAAGGCGGCACUCUGGGCCGGUACUGACGCUGAGGAGCGAAAGCGUGGGGAGCAAACAGG
rnacentral:rRNA from 1 species